rnacentral:rRNA from 1 species
UACGUAGGGUGCAAGCGUUAAUCGGAAUUACUGGGCGUAAAGCGUGCGCAGGCGGUGAUGUAAGACAGGUGUGAAAUCCCCGGGCUUAACCUGGGAACUGCAUUUGUGACUGCAUCGCUGGAGUGCGGCAGAGGGGGAUGGAAUUCCGCGUGUAGCAGUGAAAUGCGUAGAUAUGCGGAGGAACACCGAUGGCGAAGGCAAUCCCCUGGGCCGAUACUGACGCUCAUGCACGGAAGCGUGGGGAGCAAACAGG